rnacentral:rRNA from 1 species
UACGUAGGGUGCAAGCGUUGUCCGGAAUUAUUGGGCGUAAAGAGCUCGUAGGCGGUUCGUCGCGUCGGCUGUGAAAACCCGGAGCUCAACUCCGGGCCUGCAGCCGAUACGGGCAGACUAGAGGUAGGCAGGGGAGAGCGGAACUCCUGGUGUAGCGGUGGAAUGCGCAGAUAUCAGGAAGAACACCGGUGGCGGAAGGCGGCUCUCUGGGCCUUACCUGACGCUGAGGAGCGAAAGCGUGGGUAGCGAACAGG